rnacentral:rRNA from 1 species
AGUGAACGCUGGCGGUAGGCCUAACACAUGCAAGUCGAACGGCAGCACAGUAAGAGCUUGCUCUUACGGGUGGCGAGUGGCGGACGGGUGAGGAAUACAUCGGAAUCUACUUUUUCGUGGGGGAUAACGUAGGGAAACUUACGCUAAUACCGCAUACGCCCUACGGGUGAAAGCAGGGGCUCUUCGGACCUUGCGCGAUUGAAUGGGCCGAUGUCGGAUUAGCUAGUUGGCGGGGUAAAGGCCCACCAAGGCGACGAUCCGUAGCUGGUCUGAGAGGAUGAUCAGCCACACUGGAACUGAGACACGGUCCAGACUCCUACGGGAGGCAGCAGUGGGGAAUAUUGGACAAUGGGCGCAAGCCUGAUCCAGCCAUACCGCGUGGGUGAAGAAGGCCUUCGGGUUGUAAAGCCCUUUUGUUGGGAAAGAAAAGCAGCAGGUUAAUACCCCGCUGUUCUGACGGUACCCAAAGAAUAAGCACCGGCUAACUUCGUG